AUCCCUGCAGCGCAAUGGUUAGCGCGUUGGACUUCAAAUUCAAAAAUCGUGAGUUCGAAUCUCACCUGGGGUG